AUGGGUGAAGUAUUGAAGCUUCUUGAACGGCACCGUCUGGACAAUUACUACGACCACUUUGUGCAGCUGGGAGUCAAAGAUGAGCGGGACUUUGUGGACAGUGUGACAGAAGAAGACCUGAACAGCUUAGGUUUAAGCCAUGUGGAAAAGAAUCGUUUUUCUGCCAUGAAAAGCUUCAUUCUGAGACUCGGAGCUCCAGACCAGCGAGUUCAUACGGUGAUGCCCGUGCAAAAGUCCCUGGAGUUUUUCAGCCUGAAGUACACGUACCCCAAGUGCCCCCAACCAAAGCUUGUAAAGGAUAUGGAUCCAGGGCAAAACACGAUGGAAGACUUGAUGCUAAGGAUCUGCCAUCUUGAAAAUGUAGGACACAUGAAAGGAGUGUGUCUCUACACAGUGGACGGAAUGCCUCUGACCGAUGAUCCUUUCUUCAACACGUGGUCUUUGAAAGAGAGGCACAUCCCAAACGGGUCUGUGAUCUAUGCCAUAUUUACACCAAAGGAAAACCUGGCGGAAGCUCCUCCAGCGUCACGGCGAGAGUCUGCUGAAACGCUUGGAGAGGAUCUCAUCCGGUGCCACAUCAUGCUGAGGGGAGACUACGAGUUGAUGGUGAACUUAGAAAGUGACACAAUAAACAGUGUGAGACUCAAGCUGGCGAGCGCUAGUGGCAUCCCACUGCACGUCCUUCACUACACAGGUGAACACAGUGGUGCUGACACACUCCAGGACUAUGGAAUCUCUGAGGGGUCAACGCUCGCCUUUUCUUUGUGGACAUUAUCUGAUGACACUCCAUACAAAGAGACUUUCUUCAUAAACGACGUUGUGCCUUCAGUCCAGCAGACUCAGAAAGGAAUCAGCGUCUUCCUGUCUUCGCUUUACGCUCUUAAAUCCCACUAUUCUAGCAGAUUGCUGAAAAAAUUGAUCGCCUACAUACGAAAGCUGACUGGUUGUAACCCAGUGGCCCAGAGUUUGCAUCAGUUACUCUGUCGGAAUGAGAAGAUGACCAGAAACCAGAAGAUUGCAGUUGUUGAAGGCCUGUACCUGCUCUUCAGAGAGCUUCUGCCCCAGCUUGGAUCCCAGCGAGGGCAAAAAAACAUCAGUGACCUGGAUGUGUUUGAGAAUUCUUUGUACUGCUGGGCGCAUCUCAUCUCAGUCGCAAAGAAACGUCCCUCGGACCAUGAGAACUAUGCUCCGAUCAGCCUUGUGUCAGACGAUGGCCGCCGUUUCUGUGAACCGGUCAGAGUUCCUGGAGUCCCAGGGGCCUUUGAACGAUCAUAUGUUCUCCUGAAAAUUAAAGAUGGAGAGAAAAUUCCAAACUGCACUGAGCAGGUUCUGAGAGAAACCUCUUUACAGAAAGCAGCUGACAUUGAGAAGCUGCUCCUCAGUCUGCCUCCAACCAUCAAAACGUAUCCUCUGUGGAUAAAUCAUGACAAGACCACCGGGCAGAACUUUCAGAUCAGUGUUCAGGAGACUUUUGGGAGCAUGGUGGAAGCAUUGACUUUGGUUCCUUGUCUCAAUGUGACCCCUCCCUUGCCUCUGAAGAGUCUAGGAGUGUCCAACACUCAACUCGUUCUGCUAAGUGAAGACAAUCUCGGUGUGUAUCUCCAUAAAGACAAAGGAUCAACAGAUAUGAUCACAGUGUAUGAUUGUCUGGACGGCAAAGAGAAAACGGUGGAUGUAAACGUUUUGGCAGCCAAGACUGGUGACCAUAGAGACGACCAGUCAUUCGUCACAACCAGAACCCCCAAAGAGGCCAUACUGGUGCUGAUAGACACAAGCUCCUCCAUGGAGGAAGAGUGCUACAGAAAUGCAGGAAUAAAGAAGAUCAAUGCAGUCAAGGAGCUCUUUCACAACUUUGCUUCAAGGAGCAUGGCUUAUGAUUUCCAUCAUGUCAUUGGCCUUGUGAAGUUUGACACCAUGGUGAAAACGCUCCAUGCAUUUACAGAGAAUCUGGAAAAGUUCAAGGAGCACGUUCGUUCACUGGAGCCAAAUGGAUGCACUUUGCUGUACGAUGCACUACGACGUGGGGUCCUGGAGUUGGAAAAGGUCAAGGGCAAGUUCCCAGACUGUCGACUUAGGAUCGUGUGUCUCACCGAUGGAAAUGAUUCUGGAUCAUCGAUCGAGCCAGUGGCUGUUACAGCCAAACUGAUCAAAUCUAGCAUUGUUGUGGAUUCGGUCCUUCUUGGCAACGUGGACAACAACAUGCUGCACGGAAUCAGCAAUGCCACAGGUGUGAAUAUAUCAUUCACUGUGAACCUGGAGAGAGAAGUAACACACACCUCCCUGAUUCUGUGUGGUACUUCUAUGUUUGCUCUAUUCUGCAUUUUUUAUAAAAAAAAAUGGGGGGGGGGGGGGUUAUUCACUCUUGUUUUAUAG
rnacentral:lncRNA from 1 species